rnacentral:rRNA from 1 species
UACAGAGGUCUCAAGCGUUGUUCGGAUUCAUUGGGCGUAAAGGGCGCGUAGGCGGCGGGGUAAGUCUGGUGUGAAAUCUCGGAGCUCAACUCCGAAAUUGCACUGGAUACUGCUCUGCUAGAGGGCUGGAGAGGAGAUCGGAAUUCACGGUGUAGCAGUGAAAUGCGUAGAUAUCGUGAGGAAGACCAGUGGCGAAGGCGGAUCUCUGGACAGCUCCUGACGCUGAGGCGCGAAGGCUAGGGGAGCAAACGGG